UCCUCGGUAGCUCAGUUGGUAGAGCGGUUGGCUGUUAACCAACUUGUCGGCGGUUCGAGUCCGUCCCGGGGAGCCA
rnacentral:tRNA from 1 species